rnacentral:tRNA from 1 species
UGGCCACCCGGGCCGCGGUGCCCCGGCUGUUCGCGGCGGACGUCGAGGGGAUGCGCGCGGCCAACGAGCGGUUCGCCGCGGCCGUGGCCGCC